rnacentral:rRNA from 1 species
UACAGAGGUCUCAAGCGUUGUUCGGAUUCAUUGGGCGUAAAGGGUGCGUAGGUGGCGGGGUAAGUCUGGUGUGAAAGCUCCGAGCUCAACUCGGAAAAGCAUUGGAAACUAUUCCGCUAGAGGGUCGGAGGGGAGACUGGAAUUCUCGGUGUAGCAGUGAAAUGCGUAGAUAUCGAGAGGAACACCAGUGGCGAAGGCGAGUCUCUGGACGACUCCUGACACUGAGGCACGAAAGCUAGGGGAGCAAACAGG